rnacentral:tRNA from 1 species
AUUACUUUGGCAGAUUAGUGCAAUGAAUUUAGAAUUCAUAUAUGUAAUUAUUUUACAGGUAAUA